UCUUUGAUAGCUAAAAUUUUUAUAGUGUGGUCUUGAAGCGGCCGAGGUGAAGAUAUCUUCUCAAAGAA
rnacentral:tRNA from 1 species